rnacentral:rRNA from 1 species
UAGGGAAUAUUGCGCAAUGGGGGAAACCCUGACGCAGCAACGCCGCGUGAGUGAGGAAGGUCUUCGGAUUGUAAAACUCUUUUAUCAGGGAAAAAUGUCUUAGUGGUUAAUACCCAUUAGGAGUGAUGGUACCUGAGGAAUAAGCACCGGCUAACUUCGUGCCAGCAGCCGCGGUAAUACGAAGGGUGCAAGCGUUGUUCGGAAUCAUUGGGCGUAAAGCGCGCGCAGGCGGAUCAGCAAGUCAGAUGUGAAAUCUCGAAGCUCAACUUCGAAACUGCGUCUGAAACUGCUAGUCUAGAAUGUCGGAGGGGGCAGGGGAAUUUCACGUGUAGGGGUAAAAUCCGUAGAGAUGUGAAGGAACACCGGAGGCGAAGGCGCCUGCCUGGACGACUAUUGACGCUGAGGCGCGAAAGCGUGGGGAGCAAACAG